CGGGAAAUCAUCUUCUAUUAGCAAUGGACUGAAAAUGGACAAUUUGAAUUCUGGUAGCAUGCUUUCUGCCUCGGUUAUUACUGUGGGGGAUGAAAUUUUGUUUGGCACUGUAGAGGACAAGUUGGGUUCUGUGUUGUGUAAAAAGCUCCAUUCUAUUGGUUGGGCAGUAUCGCGAGUUACUGUCACUCAAAGUGAUAUAGAUUCUGUAGCCGAG
rnacentral:misc_RNA from 1 species